rnacentral:misc_RNA from 1 species
AAUUUGCCAAUUUUAUCAACAAACCAAAAUCCCAAACUUGGUGGUUUCAAUUUUGUCAGCAAAACAAAAUCUUUGCCCCCCUCUAUAGCAAAAGCUAGCACCAUGUUGAAUCCUUGUGCAAAACAAUUUGUUCUUAUCCUUAGAUUGGAAAGUACCCAAAACAAAAGAAAAACAGUAAUUUGGUAGAAACAUGUUAAAUUCUAG